UUCGGAGACACUCGAGUGGCGAACGGGUGAGUAACACGUGGGCAAUCUGCCCUGCACACCGGGAUAAGCCUGGGAAACUGGGUCUAAUACCGGAUAGGACCACUUGGCGCAUGCCUUGUGGUGGAAAGCUUUUGCGGUGUGGGAUGGGCCCGCGGCCUAUCAGCUUGUUGGUGGGGUGACGGCCUACCAAGGCGACGACGGGUAGCCGGCCUGAGAGGGUGUCCGGCCACACUGGGACUGAGAUACGGCCCAGACUCCUACGGGAGGCAGCAGUGGGGAAUAUUGCACAAUGGGCGCAAGCCUGAUGCAGCGACGCCGCGUGGGGGGAUGACGGCCUUUCGGGUUGUAAACCUCUUUCACCAUCGACGAAGGUCCGGGUUCUCUCGGAUUGACGGUAGGUGGAGAAGAAGCACCGGCCAACUACGUGCCAGCAGCCGCGGUAAUACGUAGGGUGCGAGCGUUGUCCGGAAUUACUGGGCGUAAAGAGCUCGUAGGUGGUUUGUCGCGUUGUUCGUGAAAUCUCACGGCUUAACUGUGAGCGUGCGGGCGAUACGGGCAGACUAGAGUACUGCAGGGGAGACUGGAAUUCCUGGUGUAGCGGUGGAAUGCGCAGAUAUCAGGAGGAACACCGGUGGCGAAGGCGGGUCUCUGGGCAGUAACUGACGCUGAGGAGCGAAAGCGUGGGGAGCGAACAGGAUUAGAUACCCUGGUAGUCCACGCCGUAAACGGUGGGUACUAGGUGUGGGUUUCCUUCCUUGGGAUCCGUGCCGUAGCUAACGCAUUAAGUACCCCGCCUGGGGAGUACGGCCGCAAGGCUAAAACUCAAAGGAAUUGACGGGGGCCCGCACAAGCGGCGGAGCAUGUGGAUUAAUUCGAUGCAACGCGAAGAACCUUACCUGGGUUUGACAUGCACAGGACGCGUCUAGAGAUAGGCGUUCCCUUGUGGCCUGUGUGCAGGUGGUGCAUGGCUGUCGUCAGCUCGUGUCGUGAGAUGUUGGGUUAAGUCCCGCAACGAGCGCAACCCUUGUCUCAUGUUGCCAGCGGGUAAUGCCGGGGGACUCGUGAGAGACUGCCGGGGUCAACUCGGAGGAAGGUGGGGAUGACGUCAAGUCAUCAUGCCCCUUAUGUCCAGGGCUUCACACAUGCUACAAAUGGCCGGUACAAAGGGCUGCGAUGCCGCGAGGUUAAGCGAAUCCUUUUAAAGCCGGUCUCAGUUCGGAUCGGGGUCUGCAACUCGACCCCGUGAAGUCGGAGUCGCUAGUAAUCGCAGAUCAGCAACGCUGCGGUGAAUACGUUCCCGGGCCUUGUACACACCGCCCGUCACGUCAUGAAAGUCGGUAACACCCGAAGCCAGUGGCCUAACCC
rnacentral:rRNA from 1 species